rnacentral:rRNA from 1 species
ACGGCGGACGGGUGAGUAACGCGUGGGUAACCUACCCUGUACACACGGAUAACAUACCGAAAGGUAUGCUAAUACGGGAUAAUAUAUUUGAGAGGCAUCUCUUAAAUAUCAAAGGUGAGCCAGUACAGGAUGGACCCGCGUCUGAUUAGCUAGUUGGUAAGGUAACGGCUUACCAAGGCGACGAUCAGUAGCCGACCUGAGAGGGUGAUCGGCCACAUUGGAACUGAGGCACGGUCCAA